rnacentral:rRNA from 1 species
CCUACGGGAGGCAGCAGUGGGGAAUCUUGCGCAAUGGGCGAAAGCCUGACGCAGCCAUGCCGCGUGAAUGAUGAAGGUCUUAGGAUUGUAAAAUUCUUUCACCGGGGACGAUAAUGACGGUACCCGGAGAAGAAGCCCCGGCUAACUUCGUGCCAGCAGCCGCGGUAAUACGAAGGGGGCUAGCGUUGCUCGGAAUUACUGGGCGUAAAGGGAGCGUAGGCGGAUAGUUUAGUCAGAGGUGAAAGCCCAGGGCUCAACCUUGGAAUUGCCUUUGAUACUGGCUAUCUUGAGUACGGAAGAGGUAUGUGGAACUCCGAGUGUAGAGGUGAAAUUCGUAGAUAUUCGGAAGAACACCAGUGGCGAAGGCGACAUACUGGUCCGUUACUGACGCUGAGGCUCGAAAGCGUGGGGAGCAAACAGGAUUAGAUACCCUGGUAGUCCACGCUGUAAACGAUGAGUGCUAGUUGUCGGCAUGCAUGCAUGUCGGUGACGCAGCUAACGCAUUAAGCACUCCGCCUGGGGAGUACGGUCGCAAGAUUAAAACUCAAAUGAAUUGACGG